rnacentral:lncRNA from 1 species
CCCCGUCCACCGUUGUUAUCAGUUCACGUUACCGCUCCGAGAGUCCGAGGCGCCGUCUCCACCAUCUCCUGUUUGCUGGCGGCGCGAGGAGUACCGCCCGUGACCGCAGCGCUGAGGCUCAGGAAUCAACCCUCCUCCGAAUACGCCCGUCCAUCUCUGGCGCGCGAGCAGCUCCGCCCCCUUCGUCUUCCCCUGCGCAAAAGCGGCUGCGCGAGGAGCUUCAUGUGUGCAGUGCGCUGUCCCGCGGCAAGAGCAGCAUCAAUUACUUCUUCCCUCUUCGUUCAGAUGUGUUUCUUCUACAAGGCCGGCUUCCUGCUACCUCGGUGGGAGCAUCGAUGCAGUGCAGU